CAGGUCAAUAGAGCUGUAGAUCCAGUCUCCCCAUCUCACUGGUCUUCUUCAUUCAUCCUCCAUUCCUCCUCAUUCAUCAAUCCCAUUCCCACCUUCUUCAACCCGGGCCCUAAUGGCGGAUGCUCUCCUUUCUAUUGUCCUAGAGCGGCUGGCUUCUCUUAUUGAUCAGGAAGUUUCUCUGGUUGUGGGUGUUGAAACAGAAAUCCAAAGCCUCACCGACACACUCCAGGUCGUCCGAGUUGUUGUUGCAGAUGCAGAGAAGAGACAAGUGAAGGAGGAACUUAUCAAAGUUUGGUUGCAGAGGCUUAAAGACAUCGCCUACCAAAUGGACGACGUGCUGGAUGAGUGGAGCACUUCUCUUCUCAAAUCUCAGAUUGAGAGAGCUGAAAGCCCUUCCAUGUCAAAGAAGAAGGUAAGCUCCUGCAUUCCCUCCCCUUGCAUCUGUUACAAACGAGUUGCUGGCCGUCGUGACAUUGCUCUUACGAUUAAGGAUAUUAAACAACAAGUGGAUGACAUUGCAAACCAGAGCAAUGGGUUCAAUUUUACAUCCAGAUUUAGCAACGAGGAACCACAGAGGCUUAUAACUAUCUCUGCAGUUGACAUUUCAGAGGUAUGGGGUCGGGAUAAUGACAGGGAUACCAUACUAAGGCAGCUGUUGGGUAAGAGUUGUGAACAAAACUUGGGCCUCUACACCAUCUCCGUGGUUGGGAUGGGAGGUAUCGGCAAAACAACUCUUGCUCAACUAGCCUUUAACCACGAUGAGGUGAAGGCUCAUUUUGAUAAAAGAAUCUGGGUCUGUGUUUCUGAUCCUUUUGUCCUAAUAAGAAUUUUGAGGGCUAUUCUUGAAGCCCUCCAAGGCCAGUCUUCUGAUCUCCAUGAUCCUGAAGCUCUACAACAAAAAAUUCAAGAAUCUAUUGAUGGGAAAAAGUUUCUCCUUGUGCUGGAUGAUGUGUGGACCGAAGACUAUCAGUUGUGGGAACAACUCAAAAAUUGUCUCAAGCGUGGAGGUGGUGGGAGUAGAAUUUUAGUGACCACUCGCAAUGAGAGCGUUGCUAGGAUGAUGAGAAGCACAUACAUGCACUCCUUAGGAAGCUUACCAUUAGAGCAAUGUCGGGCAUUAUUUUCCCAAAUAGCUUUUUGCGGGAAGAGUACCGACAAAAUUGAAGAAUUAGAAGAAAUUGGCAAAAAUAUAGCAGACAAGUGCAAGGGCUUACCCCUUGCCGUUAAAGCUGUAGGGAGUCUGAUGCAGUCCAAAAAUAAUAAACAAGAUUGGGAGAAUAUUUUGAAUAGUGAAAUGUGGGAACUGGAUGUUUUGGAGAAAACGCUGUCCCCUGCCUUUUUGUUGAGUUAUUAUGAUCUGCCCCCGCCACUUAAACAGUGCUUCUCAUACUGUGCGGUCUUUCCCAAAGAUCACACCAUUCAAAUAGACGACUUGAUUAAGUUGUGGAUGGCACAAAGCUACCUCGACUCUAAGUCAGACAGAGAAAUGGAGACAAUUGGGAGAGAGUACUUUGAAAACUUAGCAGCUCGGUCUUUCUUCCAAGAUUUUGAGAAAGAUGAUAAGGGUAACAUAGUAAGGUGCAAGAUACAUGAUAUAGUGCAUGACUUUGCUCAAUUUUUGAUCAACAAUGAAUGCUUAAUUGUGGACGAUGAUUGUGAAAACCUAAAGACAAACUUGUCCCUUCAAAAGGGUCGUCAUGCAACUGUAAUUGUGCAUGAAAGUACCAGAUUCUCCUUCUCCGUUAAUAAUGCGAGGAAUUUACACACACUUUUAGUUGUGUCUGACAACAGGUGUAAAAUUGAUUCAUUUCCACUUGAUUCAUUCCAGCAAUUCAAAUAUCUUAGAGCAAUGGAUUUGAGAGGUAAUGACUAAAUUGUAGAACUCCCAAGGGAGGUGGGUGAAUUCAUACAUCUGAGGUACCUUAAUCUAUCACGUUGCAGAUUUUUGAAAACAUUGCCCGAAACCAUUUGUGGUCUAUGUAAUUUGCAAACCUUGGAUGUUCUUCUUUGUACGGGGCUUAGAAAACCGCCUCAAGGGAUGGGAAAUCUAGUCAACUUGAGACAUUUUUUAUUUACUUAUUGUCAUCAGGAAUUUUCGGAACAGAUAAGUCUGGCCAAAGGAGUUGGAAGAUUAACAUCUCUUCGAACCUUGCCCUUUUUUAUUGUUAGUGAUGAAUGCAAAAUAGAAGACAUGAGAAACUUGAAGGAGCUUAGAGGACGGCUUGAAAUAAGGGGACUAGUCAAUGUGGAAGAUGCAGAGAAGGCUGAAAAGGCAGAAUUGAAGAGUAAAAAACACCUCCACGGUUUGACAUUACAUUUCACAACAGGGAGGAUGCAAGAGAGGAUGAAAAAAGUGGCAGAAGCCUUACAACCUCAUCCAAACUUAAAAUCCCUGAGCAUAGUACAGUAUCAGGUCAGAGAAUGGCCUAGGUGGAUGAUGGAGACAUCAUUACUCCAACUAACACACCUUCUCCUUUCUCACAUAGCAUGUCAGUGCUUGCCUCCUCUGGGAGAGCUACCACUUCUCGAGAACCUGAAUAUACAAUACAUGUCGAGAGUGAAAUACGUGGGUGGUGAGUUCUUGGGAUCAUCAUCAGCAAUUGCUUUUCCAAGGUUGAAGCAUCUGGGUUUUUCUGAAAUGCAAGAGUGGGAAAUUUGGGAAGUAAAAGAAGAAGGGAGGAAAGUAAUGCCAUGUCUUCUUUCCUUGAAAAUAAGCGCAAGUCCAAAGCUUGUGACAUUGCUGGACCUGCUCCAGAGGACACCACCGUUGGAUUUGAGCUUCAAGUAUUGUAAUAUCUUACAAGGGAAGUGGCCUUGGCUGCUUAGUUACAGCAAGAGUAUGAUUGGUAGGAGACGACCCAAAUAUCUCAAUAAGGAUUCCUUCCUCACACAUGAGUGCAUUUAAGAGCCUUAGAGGUCGCUUUAGUCAUAGCAUGGAUCCAAUACUCCCUCUUUUGAUCUCCAGUUGAGCGUGCUCAGAGAUCGAUGCAAGUUUGUGUAUCAAUUGGACCACCCUUUAUUGUGUUGCGUUAGGUUCUUCCUUUUGCUUGUUGAGUUUAACGCGCUUUCUCCUUAGGGCUUUAGUUAGCCUUCAUUUCUUGACUUAGCACAUUCUUUCAGUUUGUUAUUGAAUUCUCUGCUUGAUACUUUGGGAUAU